rnacentral:rRNA from 1 species
UGAGGAAUAUUGGGCAAUGCCCGCAAGGGUGACCCAGCAACGCCGCGUGGAGGAUGAAUGUCGUAAGAUUGUAAACUCCUGUUAGAGGGGAAGAAUAGUACCGGUUGGACCGGUAUAUGACUGUACCCUCAGAGAAAGCCCCGGCUAACUACGUGCCAGCAGCCGCGGUAAUACGUAGGGGGCAAGCGUUGUCCGGAUUUACUGGGUGUAAAGGGCGCGCAGGCGGGAUAAGAAGUCAGUGGUGAAAUCCUACAGCUUAACUGUAGAACUGCUGUUGAUACUUUUAUUCUUGAGUUCGGGAGAGAGACGGAAUUCCAGGUGUAGUGGUGAAAUACGUAGAUAUCUGGAAGAACACCAGUUGCGAAGGCGGUCUCUUGGUCCGACACUGACGCUGAGGCGCGAAAGCGUGGGGAGCAAACA